rnacentral:rRNA from 1 species
AGGAAUAUUGGUCAAUGGACGCGAGUCUGAACCAGCCAAGUAGCGUGAAGGAUGACUGCCCUAUGGGUUGUAAACUUCUUUUAUAUGGGAAUAAAGUGGUCCACGUGUGGAUUUUUGUAUGUACCAUAUGAAUAAGGAUCGGCUAACUCCGUGCCAGCAGCCGCGGUAAUACGGAGGGUCCGAGCGUUAUCCGGAUUUAUUGGGUUUAAAGGGAGCGUAGGCGGAUUGUUAAGUCAGUUGUGAAAGUUUGCGGCUCAACCGUAAAAUUGCAGUUGAUACUGGCAGUCUUGAGUGCGGUAGAGGUGGGCGGAAUUCGUGGUGUAGCGGUGAAAUGCUUAGAUAUCACGAAGAACUCCGAUUGCGAAGGCAGCUCACUGGAGUGUAACUGACGCUGAUGCUCGAAAGUGUGGGUAUCAAACAGGAUUAGAUACCCUGGUAGUCCACACAGUAAACGAUGAAUACUCGCUGUUUGCGAUAUACAGUAAGCGGCCAAGCGAAAGCAUUAAGUAUUCCACCUGGGGAGUACGCCGGCAACGGUGAAACUCAAAGGAAUUGACGGGGGCCCGCACAAGCGGAGGAACAUGUGGUUUAAUUCGAUGAUACGCGAGGAACCUUACCCGGGCUUAAAUUGCAAAUGAAUUAUGGGGAAACCCAUACGCCGCAAGGCAUUUGUGAAGGUGCUGCAUGGUUGUCGUCAGCUCGUGCCGUGAGGUGUCGGCUUAAGUGCCAUAACGAGCGCAACCCUUAUCUUCAGUUACUAACAGGUCAUGCUGAGGACUCUGGAGAGACUGCCGUCGUAAGAUGUGAGGAAGGUGGGGAUGACGUCAAAUCAGCACGGCCCUUACGUCCGGGGCUACACACGUGUUACAAUGGGGGGUACAGAAGGCCGCUACCUGGUGACAGGAUGCCAAUCCCAAAAACCUCUCUCAGUUCGGAUCGAAGUCUGCAACCCGACUUCGUGAAGCUGGAUUCGCUAGUAAUCGCGCAUCAGCCAUGGCGCGGUGAAUACGUUCCCG